rnacentral:rRNA from 1 species
CCUGGUUGAUCCUGCCAGUAGUCAUAUGCUUGUCUCAAAGAUUAAGCCAUGCAUGUGUAAGCACACACUGUUUUAAAAGUGAAGCCGCGAAUGGCUCAUUACAACAGCCACAGUUUAUUAGAACUUACAUACAUGGAUAACUGUGGUAAUUCUAGAGCUAAUACACGCACAAAAACUUCAACUGAAAUGGUUGAAGUGCUUUUAUUAGAACAAAAACCGAACGGCGUCUGGCUGAUGCUGAACGUCGAAACUCUUUGGUGAAUCUGAAUAACUAUUUCUGAUCGCAUGGUCUAGCACCGGCGACAUCACUUUCAAGUGUCUGCCUUAUCAACCUUCGAUGGUAGUCUAUGCGACUACCAUGGUGAUAACGGGUAACGGAGAAUCAGGGUUCGACUCCGGAGAGGGAGCCUGAGAAACGGCUACCACAUCCAAGGAAGGGAGAAACGUUAUCGAAAUGAGUACGCUUUACACACGCUAACGAGUAGCAAUUGGAGGGCAAGUCUGGUGCCAGCAGCCGCGGUAAUUCCAGCUCCAAUAGCGUAUAUUAAAGUUGCUGCGGUUAAAACGCUCGUAGUUGAAUUGUGGUCUUAGACAACAGUCCCCCUAUAUAGGUGUGGCACGGUUGCUCGAGAUCUUCAUUCGUGGUUGCUGUUGUUGCUCUUCAUUGAGUGUCAAUGGUGCCUCGAGAUUUUACUUUGAAAAAAUUAGAGUGCUCAAAGCAGGUUGUGAUGCCUGAAUAAUGGUGCAUGGAAUAAUAGAAUACGAUCUCGGUUCUAUUUUGUUGGUUUUCGAACCGGAGAUAAUGAUUGAAAGGAACAGACGGGGGCAUUCGUAUUGCUGCGUUAGAGGUGAAAUUCUUGGAUCGCAGCAAGAUGAACAAUUGCGAAAGCAUUUGCCAAGAAUGUUUUCAUUAAUCAAGAACGAAAGUUAGAGGUUCGAAGGCGAUCAGAUACCGCCCUAGUUCUAACGGUAAACUAUGCCAACCAGCGAUUCGCCGAAGUUCAUUUAAGACUCGGCGAGCAGCUUCCGGGAAACCAAAGUGUUUCGGUUCCGGGGGAAGUAUGGUUGCAAAGCUGAAACUUAAAGGAAUUGACGGAAGGGCACCACCAGGAGUGGAGCCUGCGGCUUAAUUUGACUCAACACGGGAAAACUCACCCGGCCCGGACACUGAAAGGAUUGACAGAUUGACAGCUCUUUCUUGAUUCAGUGGGUAGUGGUGCAUGGCCGUUCUUAGUUGGUGGAGCGAUUUGUCUGGUUAAUUCCGAUAACGAACGAGACUCUACCCUAUUAAAUAGUGACAGUAUUGCAUAUUUUGUGCUGAUCACUUCUUAGAGGGACUGGCAAAUUGAAAGCUGCACGAAAAAGAGCAAUAACAGGUCUGUGAUGCCCUUCGAUGUCCGGGGCUGCACGCGCGCUACAAUGAAAGCGUCAACGUGAGUUACGUCCUUACCUGAAAAGGUUUGGCAAUCGAUUGAAACGUUUUCUUGAAUGGAAUAGGGAAUUGCAAUUGUUUCCCUUGAACGAGGAAUUCCCAGUAAGCGUGAGUCAUUAGCUCGCGUUGAUUACGUCCCUGCCCUUUGUACACACCGCCCGUCGCUACUACCGAUUGGAUGAUUUAGUGAGGUGUUUUGACUAGCGCCAGUAGUCGGAUGUAAAUUCGGCUUCGCGCCGGGAAAUUUCCCAAACCAAAUCAUCUAGAGGAAGUAAAAGUCGUAACAAGGUUUCCGUAGGUGAACCUGCGGAAG